AAGUCGUAACAAGGUUUCCGUAGGUGAACCUGCGGAAGGAUCAUUCUUGUAUUGUUUGCUUUUAUAGCAAUCUACAAUCUACUAUGUGAACUGUUUAUGCGUGCUUGCGCAAGGACUAUUGAUCAGUGCUCUCAGGGGGUGCUGGAUGAUGGGAAUUGCGCGGCCGUAAUAAAACCAUAUAAUCAACUCAAUAUCUUAAGUCUUGUAAAUACAAACAAAAAACAAAAACAACUUUUAGCAACGGAUCUCUAGGCUCUC
rnacentral:misc_RNA from 1 species